rnacentral:sRNA from 1 species
UGUAAUCUAAAAUCUUCAUAAAUUUUGGGUUAUUGGAUUCAUACUCUUAUAAAGUCAUUAAAAGUUUUGUGUUAUUCAAUUAAAACAAAAGAAUCUCUGAUUGUUAAUGAUUUCAAUUAUUAUGUUAUUGGUUCAUGACUUUCUACAUUUUCUUCACAAAAUAAAGUCAUGGAAAGUCAUGAAACGUAUUAUCAAAAUAGAGAGAUUGUUUGAGAAACUUUAUAAGAUUAUGAAAAACUAAUCAACAAGAU